CAUUUGAAAGUUUCUGCUCACAUUGAAGCGUCAACAAGAAUUUAGUUGAAACGUGAAAAAUUAGCAUAUCAGUGCUACGGUGCAGUUAGGCAGACAACUAGAUUGAUCACCUGACAAUUUCUCCAGGCUGUAACAUAUAUUGAGCGCACCUUUGGCUGCCAUGUCAAAGCUCCGCCCACUCCUUUACCUUGUGCACUUUCUAAACUGCUGUGUGUGCUGAAUCUGAAAUGUAGCACUCUUAAACAAACAGGAUGACAUCCAUUAAGGUUUAUUCUGGAUUUCUAUUUAUGAAAUCACCCAAUGGCCUCAGUGAGCACUUCAUGCCGGAUGUAGAGUUUUACUGCAAAUUGGGAUAUCUCAUCAUGUCAGAUCACCUUGCAGGAUUUACUGCACUGCUUCUCCUCAUCAAGUGGCUGCUUCUCGUCAACUGAGUAGGACUGCAUGGAUUCAGGCGUUUCCCUGUCAGACAACAUAUGCCACUGCAUUUCUCCUGCUCCGAGCUGCUUGACAUUAUCUACUCCCAGUCCCUGUGGCCAGCACCAGCUCUCAGCCCUCUUGCUGGUGGCUCUGCGAACAUGAUCUCUGAUGUCUCUCAGGCAGCAAACUGAUGCUGUCACUGCACCAAGACUCAACACGACCCGCUGACAAACACAUUGUGACAAGGACACACAGGCACACACAGUGUACACGCAGACGCACAGUUGUGCUCAUGUCUCGUCAAUAUGCUGCACAAGAGUCAGUGCAAGUAAUGCCUUUAUUCAGCUGUUAUUUUCUCCUCUGUCAGAUCAGGUCAGCGGCACACACGCCCCGACACAAAAAUAUUCUUUGAUGUACGUUUGUGGAUUUUUAUAAUUGACACACACA